GGGGGAAGGAUUCAUUCUGCUCUCUAGGGCAGAAAGAGAAUGGAAGGUCUGAAGGCUUGCAGAAAUAAAUGUGUGACCUGAAAGAACGAAGCAGAGAGGACUCAAGACACUGCAUUUGGGAGCCACCUCUGCUUCCAGAACACUUGUCUCUUCCAAGAGCUGGAUUCAGUAUCAAAAGGAGAAGGUAUGACAUAGCUCCACCUACAUGCAAGGGGAGCCAGGAAGUGCAAUCCCUGGCUGGGCUGCCACGUCUCAGAAACCAUUAAGCCUAUGGAAGGUCUCUGGAUUUGAUGGCAAAUGGCAGCAGAAAUGUGGAAAAGAUCAAAGUGAUGUCAAGGUUGAUCUCUGAGUUUGGCAUGGCUGAACUCAAACAUCAUUUGCCAUGGACCCACAGUGUCUUCAGUAGCUGAGUGUGGUGUCAUUCCCCUAUGAUAUGUGCACUCAAUUGCUGGCCAGUUUUUGUUUUUUGUUUUUGAGAGAGUCUCGCUUUGUCUCCUAGGCUGGAGUGCAGUGGCACGAUCUCGGCUCACUGCAACCUCCGCCUCCCGGGUUCAAGUGAUUUUCCUGCCUCAGCCUCCCGAGUAGCUGAGAUUACAGGCAUGUGCCAGCAGGCCCGGCUAAUUUUUUUUGUAAUUUUAGUAGAGACGGGGUUUUGCCAUGUUGGCCAGGCUGGUCUCGAGCUCCUGGCCUCAAGUGAUCCACCUGCCUCCACCUCCCAAAGUG
rnacentral:lncRNA from 1 species